rnacentral:rRNA from 1 species
CAGUAAACGGCGGCCGUAACUAUAACGGUCCUAAGGUAGCGAAAUUCCUUGUCGGGUAAGUUCCGACCCGCACGAAAGGCGUAACGAUUUGGGCACUGUCUCAACAACAGACUCGGUGAAAUUGUAAUUCCGGUGAAGAUGCCGGAUACCGGCGACAGGACGGAAAGACCCCAUGGAGCUUUACUGUAGCUUGACAUUGGGUCUUGGUACUACAUGUACAGGAUAGGUGGGAGGCUUUGAAACCAGGACGCCAGUUUUGGCGGAGCCAUCCUUGGGAUACCACCCUU